rnacentral:lncRNA from 1 species
AUGACUCAGCUCUCAGCUGUCGCAGGAGAGGAGGUAACACAGCUGGGGCAUUGCUCCUUCCCUUGGUCCCAUGUGCUGGGCUGGUUCCAGCAUCACCAGAGGAUGGAUGUGGUGCCUGGUCCCACUGGUGUCCCCAUGUCCAUCCCACCAGGGUCUGUGUACCCAUCCCACCAGGGUCUGCAUAUCCACCCAAUGGGGUCUGUGUGUCCACCCCACCGGGGUCCCUACAUCUGUUCCACCAUUCCACAGGGGUCCACAUGCCCACCCCCUUGGUGUUCCCAUAUCCAUCCCAUCAGGGUCCCCAUGUCCACACCAUCACUGCCCAUGUGCCCACCCCACCAGGGUCCUCAUGUCCGUCCCAUUGGGAUCUGCAUAUCCAUCCCACUGGGGUCUGUGCACCCAUCCCACCAGGGUCUGUGUGUCCAUCCCAUCGGGGUCCCCAUGUCCACACCACCACCGCCCAUGUGCCCACCCCACCAGGGUCCUCAUGUCCGUCCCAUUGGGGUCUGCAUAUCCAUCCCAUUGGGGUCUGUGCACCCAUCCCACCAGGGUCUGUGUGUCCAACCCAUUGGGGUCCCCAUGUCCACACCACCACCGCCCAUGUGCCCACCCCACCAGGGUCUGUGUGUCCAUCCCAUCGGGGUCCCCAUGUCCACACUGCCACUGCCCAUGUGCCCACCCCACCAGGGUCCUCAUGUCCAUCCCAUUGGGGUNGUCCAUCCCAUCGGGGUCCCCAUGUCCACACUGCCACUGCCCAUGUGCCCACCCCACCAGGGUCCUCAUGUCCAUCCCAUUGGGGUCUGCAUAUCUAUCCCAUUGGGGUCUGCAUAUUCAUCCCACUGGGGUCUGCAUAUCCAUCCCACUGGGGUCUGUGCACCCAUCCCACCAAGGUCUGUGUGUCCAUCCCAUUGGGGUCCCCAUGUCCACACCACCACCGCCCAUGUGCCCACCCCACCAGGGUCCUCAUGUCCAUCCCAUUGGGGUCUGCGUAUCCAACCCAUCGGAGUCCCCACGUCCAUCCCCACUGGGCUCCCCAUACCCCAGCCCAGGGGGAGGCUGGAGGCGGCUGGGAGCUGA